rnacentral:piRNA from 1 species
UGAUGAAAAAUUAUAAUCUUG